UACGUAGGGUGCAAGCGUUGUCCGGAAUUAUUGGGCGUAAAGAGCUCGUAGGCGGUUUGUCGCGUCUGCUGUGAAAACUCGGGGCUCAACUCCGAGCUUGCAGUCGAUACGGGCAGGCUAGAGUUCGGCAGGGGGAGACUGGAAUUCCUGGUGUAGCGGUGAAAUGCGUAGAGAUGUGGAGGAACACCAGUGGCGAAGGCGGCUUUUUGGUCUGUAACUGACGCUGAGGCGCGAAAGCGUGGGGAGCAAACAGG
rnacentral:rRNA from 1 species